rnacentral:rRNA from 1 species
GACGAACGCUGGCGGCGUGCCUAAUACAUGCAAGUCGAGCGGACCGGAUUGGGGCUUGCCUUGAUUCGGUCAGCGGCGGACGGGUGAGUAACACGUGGGCAACCUGCCCGCAAGACCGGGAUAACUCCGGGAAACCGGAGCUAAUACCGGAUAACACCGAAGACCGCAUGGUCUUCGGUUGAAAGGCGGCCUUUGGGCUGUCACUUGCGGAUGGGCCCGCGGCGCAUUAGCUAGUUGGUGAGGUAACGGCUCACCAAGGCGACGAUGCGUAGCCGGCCUGAGAGGGUGACCGGCCACACUGGGACUGAGACACGGCCCAGACUCCUACGGGAGGCGGCAGUAGGGAAUCUUCCGCAAUGGGCGAAAGCCUGACGGAGCGACGCCGCGUGAGCGAAGAAGGCCUUCGGGUCGUAAAGCUCUGUUGUGAGGGACGAAGGAGCGUCGUUCGAAGAGGGCGGCGCGGUGACGGUACCUCACGAGAAAGCCCCGGCUAACUACGUG